UUCAGACUCUGCCACUUUUCAUUUUCAGAUUUCCAGUCUCGAUAAUAGAAGCGUAAUGGUGUUUUCUGGCUGAAUUCGAUCCACGAAUCUCUGUUUUUUUUUUUUUUAGUGGAUUGGAAAAUUAGGGAAAAUUUUAACUAGUUAGGGUUGUUGAUGAGAAUUAGCUGGUAUCGCUAUCAGGUGGAUCAUCUGUCCUUUUGUGAAUUUCUACUUUGUUAGGUCAUCUAACUUGGUCUCUUUUUCAUUUUCAUUUAUAUUAACACUCGUGAUGGGGUAAAGUGGAGCAGUUUCGAAGAACAUUCGAGUGUAGUGUUUAGUAAAAGUUUAGAGGAUCAACUUCAAAACGGAUUAAUUUAGUUUUCUUUUUCUAGCUUUUGUUGUUCUUGGCAUUAAAUUUGAGCACACACUUAAUGAAGUUUUGAAAAAAGAAGAUUACAUUUUCUUGAAACAGUUUUUGGUGACUCUGAGAGGUAUUGAAAAUUUUGAUACAGCGCCCGAAAUCGUUAGUGAGUUCGAAUGAAGCUCGAAAAAUCCUCAUAAGAAGUAGUGUUAGAUUCUGCUUCCUCAAAUGCCAACCAUUCUUCAGCGGGCAAUUCAAUGGCGUUUGAUGCGUAUGAUGUUUGCAAUAAGAAGAAUCUGGCUAUGGCUGUUCACCAUUAAGAAUUUGGAUGUUUUAUCAGCUGAUAAAAGCCGAUUUGUCCCCGUAGAUUCUUGCAGCUAAUGCUUGUGUAUAGAAAGUUUCAGCACUUUGAACAAACAAUUGUGGAGCAUUUGCCAGAUUGAAGGAGUUCUGCGUGCAGCACAAGCAUAAAAGCAACAAUUCAAAUAAGAUAGAUUAUGAUCAAUGAUUGAACAAUCAAAGUCUUCUCUGACUGCUUAGGUGUGUACUAUACUUAUACUUUUCAUGCGUUUCUAAGCUUUAAGUUCAGUUUAUAGAAGCUGUAAUACCUGAAAGGUAAUGCCUCUCACAAUAAUGUUAUCAGCAAUUGAACUAAAUGUAGCGCUAGUAUCUGUUUGUUGAUGGUCAUUGAAAGUGAUAAUUGUUGUAUUGCGGUCACCUCCUUGUAGAUAAAUGAAUGGUUUUUUUGACGUGAUCGUCACCUUUUCUCUACAAAUGACCAUAUUAGAACAAAACCUCACUAGAAUUAGGCAUAUUCAUGUGUUGUAUUACCUGUAUACACCAGGAUUGACUUGAAUCUUAACCCAUUUGUUGUUGUUAAGUGGAACUGAGUCGAUGGCUGCUUGAAUGGUCUUGAAAUUGCCUUUGCCCGACUUGUCAACAACAAUGACGGAUUGAAUUUUAAAGUCAAGGGCCCUUGUAGAGUUUAUUGCAGCAUUAAAGAGGGUGAAGAGCAAGAGAAAUGGAGAUAGUAGUUGCAUUCUUCUCGGUUCAGAAUUCUUCUGGGUUGAGAAGGGAGCUGAAAUCUACUAGUUGACUAUAUUAAUAAAAAUAUUUGAUAACUCGUCAAAUGGGCACUUUGAAUAUGCAAAUGGAACAAAAAGAAUUCCAACUUUAAUAGAGCUUAAA